UUUCAAAAAGAAACAGAAUGCUUCUUCUUCCCUGCUCCCUCUCCCUUUUUGCUAGAAUUUCAACCUAGCCUUGCGCCACCCUGGAGGAUCAUCGGUGCCACGCACCUCCACCCCACCGCGGGUUCACGGAGCAAGACCAGGUUCGUAGGCGAGUACGCCUCUGACGUGGACGUGGAGCGGCAUACAACACGGAGGAGGUGAGUGACGUGCGGAGGAGGGACUGCUUCGGUUUUCUGAAAUGACACAAAAGGGCUGCUAGGGUUUCCCUUGCCAAAAAUAUGUUGUGUUUGUGGGCCAAUUGGGCCAUUUGUAAAUGGGUAUUUAGGGUUUGGGGUAAGGUUUUAUUUUUUAGGUUUGGGUCUGCUUUUAUUGGGCUCCUAGUAGUCUGGGCCAGGUAAAUUUUGGGCCCUACAAUGAUGAAAUAAAUAUGAAUUCCUAAAAGAAACUGCAUCCUCCUUACCUUAUUUACUGAAAAGCCCUAAGUUUUUUUCA